AAAGAAUUAGUUAAAUUAACCCUAGUAUGUCAUACUAAAAUUAUCAGUUCAAACCUGAUAUUCUUUA
rnacentral:tRNA from 1 species